GUACAAGGUGGCACAGUGGUUAGCGCUGUUUCCUUGCAAUAAGUAGGUUCAGGGUUUGAGCCCUUGCUGGUCA